UGUGGUUGAUUAAUUAAAAACUAUUGCAAGUUAUUUAAUUAAUGCUAAGUGCUGUGAGUGAUGUGAGGGGAAGAAGAAGAGAGACAAUCCAAUGCAAACACAGAGUUUUAUAGUGGUUCGGAGCUACCCCUUGCUCCUACGUCCACUCCCCAAGUCUCUCUUGGGAAUUCACUAUAACCCCCUUGGAUUACAGCCGGUUGUUUUGCAAGCUCACAACCAAACUUGUUGUUUUACGAGCUCACAACAAACUCGGUCGGUUUUCCCAGGCUCACCGACUAGAACCAACCCCGAUUGUUUUCCCGGGCUCACAAUCAAACCCUUACACACGUUGGUUUUUAACUUGGCUCACCAACCAACCUUAAUCCCCUUGAUUCAAUCCUCCGAUUGAACCAAGUAAAUACAAGUUAUAGAAAGAAAGGAAAAUAAGCUUCUCAAAAGCAGAUGUAAAACAAUAUAAUCAAAAGAGGAGUUUAGAAGCCCUCAAACGCUUUUAAGCUGAAGUAGAGGAAUGGCUUCUUGAACUCCGGUCUCCUCUAG
rnacentral:lncRNA from 1 species